GGAGGGCACAAGCGUUGUUCGGAAUUAUUGGGCGUAAAGCGCGUGUAGGCGGCUUGGUAAGUCGGAUGUGAAAGCCCGGGGCUCAACCCCGGAAUUGCAUUCGAAACUGCCUCGCUAGAGUCUCGGAGAGGAGGGCGGAAUUCCCGGUGUAGAGGUGAAAUUCGUAGAUAUCGGGAGGAACACCAGUGGCGAAGGCGGCCCUAUGGACGAUGACUGACGCUGAGACGCGAAAGCGUGGGGAGCAAACAGGAUUAGAUACCCUGGUAGUCCACGCCGUAAACGUUGGGUGCUAGGUGUCGCGGGUAUUGACCCCCCUGCGGCGCCGGCGUUAACGCAUUUAGCACCCCGCCUGGGGAGUACGGUCGCAAGACUA
rnacentral:rRNA from 1 species